rnacentral:rRNA from 1 species
AGGAUCAUUAUUGAUAGUUUUUAUUAUCAAAAACCCCUUUGUCUAUCAUUUACCAUGUUGCUUCCAUUGGACAGACCGGCAUUGUGUAUACAAGUUGGUCCUCUAGUUUUGUGUUUCUUUGGGCACUAGCUAGGGAGCUGCCAGUGGAUAGAAUCCAAAUAAAAAAAUUCGUGAAGAAAUAUAUUGUCUGAAUUAUUAGUACAAAACAAAUAAAACUUUCAACAACGGAUCUCUAGGCUCUUGCAUCGAUGAAGAACGCAGUGAAAUGCGAUAAGUAAUGUGAAUUGCAGAAUCUCGUGAAUCAUCGAAUCUUUGAACGCACAUUGCGCCCUAUGGAAUUCUGUAGGGCAUGCCUGUCUGAGCGUCAGCAGCAAAAAAUCAAGAUCUUUGUAGGUAAAGAUUUGGAUUUGGUUAAGAGAUGUAAUCUGUGAAGAACCGGUUACUCUUUUGAAAUUUAAAGGCAGUAUUGAUCAAUCCAACUGUAAACGUGAUAAAACAUUUCGUUUUAUUGUUAGAAUGAGCUUUUUGCUUGCCUAUAAACCCACUCAUCUUCAUGGUGGACCUCAGAUCAGGUAGGGAUACCCGCUGAACUUAAGCAUAUCAAUAAGCGGAGGACAAGAAACCAACAGGGAUUGCCUUAGUAACGGC